GUCCCGGAGUGGGCCGUGGGGCGGGCUCGGGCUUUCAAACCGGUUCCUUUUUCUUCGCGCCCGGUGGGUGCUACCCCUCCUUCGUAAAAAACAAAGUCGUCUUAAAGCUAGAGGCAUCUGGUCCGCUCCCACCUCGUCUGCCCUGUACCCUGAUACUCGAUGAACCUCGAUAAGCAGCAAACGCACAAGCCCUGGCACUGAAGUCAUGAAUCUGCACAGAGGGAGCCUACACAGAGGCUGUGACACAGGACAAGGCCACCUGGAGGCUGCCAGCACAAUUGCUGGACAGAGCUGCGUAUCUUCCUGGGCACCUGCAGCACACCCAACACUGGUGCUUCACAACGUGAUUGAAGAAUGUUUAAUCAGGGAGGGCUCAACAUGUGAAAUCUGCAACAUCUGGCACAGCUGCAGUAGCCCAGCGCGGGGUUAGCAAAGAGCCAGACGGGCCUGAGGUCGAGUGAGCCCUAACUUUGCAGUUGUCUGUCGGACUUACAUCACUUAUAUUCACAAGGGUUACUGCAGAGAAGAAUCGGAGGCUCCGGAAAGGCACUUGGGACCAUGCCUGCAGAGAACAAGAGCCCUUGAGCUACCUUAGUGCUUAUAAUUAUAACCAUUAUACAUCCAGAGAUAACUUAGCUUCUCCUAGAAAUAUGCCAUGCUGGAGUGGCGCCUGUGGCUCAAGGAGUAGGGUACCGGCUCCAUAUGCCGAAGGUGGUGGGUUCAAACCCAGCCCUGGCCAAAAAAAAAAAGAAAAACCUAGAAAUAUGCCAUGCUGACAAGAAAAUACAUUGACAUGUACCCGCACAUAGAGAGACAUUUACACUUACUGCUCUACAACGUGCUGUUUUUACUUAGAAACAAUCUUGAGACCGUUUCCAUAUUAAUGCAUACGGAUCCCCCACAUUCUCUUUAAAUGUCUGGGUGGUAUUUUGUUGAAUGCAUGUGCCAUAGUUUAUAUGCCCUAAAGAGAACAUUUGAACUAUAUAGUUAUGGUUGGAUGCAGUGUUUCAUGCUUAUAAUCCAAGUAUUUGGAAGGCUGAGGCAGGAGGAGCACUUGAGACCAGGAGUUCAACACUAACCUGGGCAACGUAGAGAGAUCCUCAUCUCUAUGAAAAUAAAUAAAUAAAAAAAAUUGAAAAUUGAAAAGAUUAGAAACAAAAAUAAACAAAUAAAAUAUAUAAUCGCCUAUUUGUUCAGAGAUGUUAUAUGUGAAAGUGCAUGUAAACCACCGUUUGAAUAAUUCAAAUACAUUUCAAAAUUUACAAACGGUGUAGACUUGGCCCACAUUGGAUACAAACAACCAGCACUGCUGGGAGACAAACCGGAACCUCGAACCUAGAGCACUACUGGCAGAACGGACAUGCCCAUGAGCAGGUUAAAAGCUGUGUAAGUUACUGUGCUUGUUCCAGAUGAAUUUGGAACAGAAUGGAACCUUAAAGGAGAUGUAAUAGCUGUUUGUUCGAGCUUUUAACCACAAUAUAAAAGGACCAGUGGUUUUACUAUUAUAUUUUCCCUUUGGCUUCCCAGUACCUCAAAUUCAAUCAGUGUCCUGCUGUUCGGAGGUAUUUUGAAAUGUGCCAACUCUUAAUUGAAGUGGAAGGGCCCAGAACCAGAGUUAAUACUAGGAGCAACAGGGAGUCAAAUUUGUGGAGGAACACAGUGGUUGGCUCUGCUGCUAAACUCCUUUCAGCUCCUGGUGCCAACGGAAAUUCUGACAGUAAGUAGAUGGGGUGGCUGGGCGCUGAGCUGCACUGGGUCAGGGGUGCAGCUCUGAUGAUUUUGCA